rnacentral:rRNA from 1 species
UUUCCUGCGGAAUAGCUCCGGGAAACUGGAAUUAAUACCGCAUACGCCCUACGGGGGAAAGAUUUAUCGGGGAAGGAUUGGCCCGCGUUGGAUUAGCUAGUUGGUGGGGUAAAGGCCUACCAAGGCGACGAUCCAUAGCUGGUCUGAGAGGAUGAUCAGCCACAUUGGGACUGAGACACGGCCCAAACUCCUACGGGAGGCAGCAGUGGGGAAUAUUGGACAAUGGGCGCAAGCCUGAUCCAGCCAUGCCGCGUGAGUGAUGAAGGCCUUAGGGUUGUAAAGCUCUUUCACCGGAGAAGAUAAUGACGGUAUCCGGAGAAGAAGCCCCGGCUAACUUCGUGCCAGCAGCCGCGGUAAUACGAAGGGGGCUAGCGUUGUUCGGAAUUACUGGGCGUAAAGCGCACGUAGGCGGAUAUUUAAGUCAGGGGUGAAAUCCCAGAGCUCAACUCUGGAACUGCCUUUGAUACUGGGUAUCUUGAGUAUGGAAGAGGUAAGUGGAAUUCCGAGUGUAGAGGUG